UUAUAAUCCCACGGGGACCACCGAUGGCGAAGGCAGAGCCCUGGAACAUGUGCGACCGUCAGGCACGAAAGGGUGGGUAGCGAGCCGGAUUAGAUACCCGGGUAGUCCACCCCGUAAACGAUGCGGAUUAAGUGUAUGGGAAGCGUAUGCUUUCCAUGUGCCGUAGGGAAACCGUUAAAUCCGCCGCCUGGGAAGUACGCUCGCAAGAGUGAAACUUAAAGCAAUUGGCGGGAGAGCGCCACAAUGGGUGGAGCCUGCGGCUUAAUUGGACUCAACGCCGGGAAACUCACCAGAGUCUUCUAUCCAAUGCCAACCAGCUUGAAGAGCUUGUUGAAAGGAUGAAAGGGAAGUGCAUGGCCGUCUCCAGCUCGUGCCGUGAGGUGUCCUGUUAAGUCAGGCAACGAGCGAGAUCUCCGGGAAUACUUACCAGCGGAACCUAUCGGUUGCCGGGCACAGUAUUCCGACUGCCACUGCUAAAGUGGAGGAAGGCGGAGGCCAAGGCAGGUCAGUAUGCUCCUAAUACUCUGGGCCGCACGCGGGCUACAAUGCUACGGACAACGGGAUCCUACUCCGAAAGGCGACGGAAAUCUCUAAACCGUAGCUCAGUUGGAAUUGCGGGCUGUAACUGCCCUCAUGAACUUGGAAUCCAUAGUAAUCGUGUGUCAUCAUCGCACGGUGAAUACUGUCCCCUCUCUUUGCACACACCGCCCGUCGCAGCACGCGAGAUGGUCAAGUGAGAGGCCUAUACUUUGUGUUUAUGUCAAUCAUAGGGUCAUUGAGUGGGCUGAAGUCGUAACAAGGUAGCCGUACUGGAAGGUGCGGCUG
rnacentral:rRNA from 1 species